rnacentral:rRNA from 1 species
GACCUCAGAUCAGGCAAGGCUACCCGCUGAAUUUAAGC